ensembl:snoRNA small nucleolar RNA SNORA2/SNORA34 family
CUGGCUCUGAUUCAAGGCCGGCAGCUUCCUGUCACUGUUGGUUUCAACCAGGAGCCUAAAGAGAUGUCUUUCUGUGGUCUGUUGGCCAUUUCAGAACUCAGGCAGUGAAAUGGCCAAUUCAUUAGAAAGAAACACCA